rnacentral:rRNA from 1 species
UACGUAGGGUGCAAGCGUUAUCCGGAAUUAUUGGGCGUAAAGAGCUCGUAGGCGGUUUGUCGCGUCUGCUGUGAAAACUGGAGGCUCAACCUCCAGCCUGCAGUGGAUACGGGCAGGCUAGAGGUAGGUAGGGGAGAAUGGAAUUCCCGGUGUAGCGGUGAAAUGCGCGAUAUCGGGAGGAACACCGGUGGCGAAGGCGGUUCUCUGGGCCUUACCUGACGCUGAG